UGCCAUUUGAUGAAGUUUUUGGAUUCCCCUUCUAGACGUGGGUGAUGCAAUCCCUAGUUCCUGAUGCU